ACCCGCACAAGCGGUGGAUGAUGUGGUUUAGUUCGAUGCAACGCGAAAACCUUACCCACCUUUGACAUGUACGGAAGUUGCCAGAGAUGGCUUCGUGCUCGAAAGAGAGCCGUAACACAGGUGCUGCAUGGCUGUCGUCAGCUCGUGUCGUGAGAUGUUGGGUUAAGUCCCGCAACGAGCGCAACCCUUGUCAUUAGUUGCUACGAAAGGGCAUUCUAAUGAGACUGCCGGUGACAAACCGGAGGAAGGUGGGGAUGACGUCAAGUCCUCAUGGCCCUUAUAGGUGGGGCUACACACGUCAUACAAUGGCAGGUACAAAGGGUUGCCAACCCGCGAGGGGGAGCCAAUCCCAUAAAGCCAGUCGUAGUCCGGAUCGCAGUCUGCAACUCGACUGCGUGAAGUCGGAAUCGCUAGUAAUCGUGGAUCAGCAUGUCACGGUGAAUACGUUCCCGGGUCUU
rnacentral:rRNA from 1 species